CAGUAGCCGCGGGAAUACAGAGGGUGCAAGCGUUAAUCGGAAUUACUGGGCGUAAAGCGCGCGUAGGUGGUUUGUUAAGUUGGAUGUGAAAUCCCCGGGCUCAACCUGGGAACUGCAUCCAAAACUGGCAGGCUAGAGUAGGGCAGAGGGUGGUGGAACUUCCGGUGUAGCAGUGAAAUGCGUAGAGAUCUGGAGGAAUACCGAUGGCGAAGGCAUCCAUCUGGCCUAAUACUGACGCUGAGGUACGAAAGCAUGGGGAGCAAACAGGAUUAGAUACCCCGGUAGUCCCUGUCUCUUAUAC
rnacentral:rRNA from 1 species